rnacentral:rRNA from 1 species
UACAGAGGGGGCAAGCGUUGUUCGGAAUUACUGGGCGUAAAGGGCGCGUAGGCGGCGCGGCAAGUCAGGUGUGAAAGCCCCGGGCUCAACUCGGGAACUGCAUCUGAAACUGCCAUGCUUGAGUCCUGGAGGGGGUAGUGGAAUUCCCAGUGUAGCGGUGAAAUGCGUAGAUAUUGGGAGGAACACCUGUGGCGAAGGCGGCUACCUGGACAGUGACUGACGCUGAGGCGCGAAAGCUAGGGGAGCGAACGGG